UUGUCAACGUUAUAGAAAACAGACAAAAAAAACCGUGAUUAAUGAUUAAUUUCACCCGAAAUUACGGUACUUUUAUUUCGAUACAAUGUAAAAAACUUAGGAGAAUGUGAUUUGUGAUUGGUUGAUGGUUAUUGUGCAAAAAUAUUGGUUAAUGCUUUUAGGUUCACACAACAAAGUACAAUCAAACCAAUUUAGAGAAAAGGAGAUAUGUAGUAGGCUGGUAUUGGUCAAAUUAUGUAAAGUAGUCUAGUCUUAGAUUGGGAGUGUAAAGGUCAUUCUUGUUUGUUGUAACUACCCAUGGACGUCCACACAUCCUGGGGUGUCGACGUCCAUACGCCUCGGCCAGCUCUCCUAUGAAGUCACCUCAGGGUCGGCUUUAGACCCGGGAGGACUGAGAAACCCUACACUUACCUGCCAACAAUCGGACGAACAAAGGGAAGGCCAAAGUAAUCAGAGGGAUAAUCUCUCACAAACAAUAGUUAAGGAAACCAAUCAAAUUUGAUCUAAUAAAUCUAUUGUGGGGUGUUUAAGGGUUAAUUACAAUUUCUUUGUUCGUUGGAGCCCAUAGCGUCGUGGUGUUUGGUGGUGGAGGAAGGGAGGAGAUGAUGACGUACCUGCUGCAACACGUGCUAGACAUCGUUGGAGAGACGUCGGAAAGAGUGGCGUCGGCAUCGCUCGCCGGCGAAGAGUGUACUGGGUUUCGCACUGACGGCCGAAUUUGUCGUUUCGUCGGUCAUCUUCGCGCCGCCCCGCGGCUUGUUUGCGGCGGUCACUAUGGGGAUGUGUAUCGUACACACUAGGAUACACUGGGAAAAACUAUCACGAUCCGAAGCGGGUUUGCAGCCCUUCUUUCGCAGGCCGUUAUCGUAUGGCCACUGAAGGGGGGGGGGUCCUGGUGAUAUAUGGAAGCACCGUUGCGUUGGAGUCCGUGGGCUCGGCAAUUACACAAGAAAGAGUCUUCCACACCACGAACUUAACUGUCCGAUUUAGCAACUCACUUCCUCUGAGAGGAACCUUCGCUUAACUUGUUGUUUGCUUCCGAUCCCAGACUUAAGUCAACGAGCUCCCGUCAAUCGAUCUCUACUUUCCUUUUACAAGUUCCCCUCUCCAUCCCAUUCCUCCCGUUGCUCCACUCCCUUCCUCUUUACAAUCCUACAGGAUUUAGUGUUGUUGUGUUUUUGAAACAUUUCAAACCGAGGGGAGUACAAUGAUUUCUCUAACUGGGUUUUGAAUUCAAUUUUAGCCUAUAGCAGUGGUUCUCAACCUAACUUAACAUUGCUUUCUUUUAUUUAUUUCUUUAAUUACUAACAAUCUUUUUAUGUGAAACACUAACAAUAGGAUAAGUUUUAGUUAUUUAAUAUCAUAUGAUAAGUUAUUUUAACUAAUAAGCUAAGGGAAUACUAAUACAAUUAUUUAUUGAAAACUCAAAUUAAGAAGGCCUCUAUUGUUGCCGAUAUCGUCGGUAACAAUUCUCCCCUUGCCAGAGGAGAAAAAUUGUUAUGACAAUUUUUCGUUGGAAAUCUAUUUUAAUUCAUAACGACUUUCAAAGCACAUGACAAUUGAGUGACUGGACCUUAUCCAUGGAACCCCGUGUUCCUUGUUGGUGAAUGUCGGUAAUUAUACUGUUAUAAACCAUCAUCACUUAUUUCAUUGCUAUUCAUUUGUGUUGGUUACAGAGUAUGGAAACGCAAAACCUUUGUUAUCGAUUGAUUAUACUAUCACCUCAAGCCCAAAGUUUGAAAAAAAAACCAUCAAAUAUUUACACUUGUAUCUGUAUUAAUAAAAAAAAACUUUAGACGCGUCCGUCAUUCCAUUUUUAUUCUAAGCUCACUAACAUCAACCUAUUCUAGUUUAAAACCCGGGGAAUAAAUCUUAACAUAUUUAAUUCUAUAUCCAGUGACUAAUUAGUUAACGUCAGCAUGGCAUGUAAACCUAUAGAACCAGUGACUACACGCACGUCAGCAUGGUUUAUCUAACCUAAGUUCCAGUGACCAAAAGUUUUAACGUCAGCGUGGAAUUGCUAUACAGAACCAGUGACUAAAUAGUUGCACGUCAGCAUGGUUGCCUUCUAAUUUCUAGGCCCAUCUGCCUUGAAAUCACAUCUUACUGCUUCUAAAUGUCCAACACAUAGUUUGUAAUUCGAGCUCAUAAGAAACUUAUUCGGUUCAAUUCAAGGUACCCGGGCAUUAUUCGGGGUCUACUAAACGCACUCGCAACCUCUUUCAUUGAGAGAUGUGAGUCGUCAUUCCACAAAAAUUGUGGGGGCUGAUGGAAAACGCUAUACGUUUGAGCGAAGCUGUGUCUGUCACUCCGUAUCAGCUGAUUCGACUGAAUCGCAGCAUAUUCAAAACAAAGCUGUAUUGAUUAUUAUAACUUCCAUUGGAAAUCUGGAUGCCUGUUGGGGCCUGGAGGCUCGCGGAAACCCUUAUUCCAUCGACUACCUCGAAUUCCAAACGAUUUUUAAAACAACGAUUAAACAUCGCUGUACCGACUAAAGUGAAAUGUGAGAGACUUUUAUCUAUUUUGUGACUGUUUUACAGUAACAACGAAAAUAAAUUGGGAAAAGCUGUUAGUGAA